rnacentral:rRNA from 1 species
UACGUAGGGUGCAAGCGUUGUCCGGAAUUAUUGGGCGUAAAGAGCUCGUAGGCGGCUUGUCGCGUCGGCUGUGAAAACCUGGGGCUCAACCCCGGGCCUGCAGCCGAUACGGGCAAGCUAGAAUUCGGUAGGGGAGACUGGAAUUCCUGGUGUAGCGGUGAAAUGCGCAGAUAUCAGGAGGAACACCGGUGGCGAAGGCGGGUCUCUGGGCCGAUAUUGACGCUGAGGAGCGAAAGCAUGGGGAGCGAACAGG